GCGGCGGGCGCCCCGAUCCUCGCCUGGGGCGGAGACGCCGCGGGAGAGGGGAGCGCCGAGCGCGCGUCCCCUCCGCCACAUUCCGUCCGUCCCAUUCAGUGCCCGCCCGCGAUGUGCGGACGGCCGACGGGGAUGUCGAGUGUGUGCCGUGCGGUGUCAGUGUCGUCUGCCGUCUCCUCUUCCGACCUGAAGCAUUUGAGAAUCUCGGCUCACCAAUACUAUGCGAUGCAAGGCUCGACGGGCGACAUCCUCGCUCAAGAUGUGUACGAGUAUAGCUGGAUGCAGACGGAACGGCGGCCUCGACGACAAUGGUGACAUGACGUGACGUCAACGUGUGAUGAUGUGAUGUGACUGUGACGUGUGGAUGACUCGAACAGUAAAGGGCUGUUGAUAUGUGUUCUCAGCUCUACAUUUUUUAUGAAUACAUAUUGAUUUUGACGUUUA